rnacentral:sRNA from 1 species
UCAUAUAGCAAAUGCCGAAGACAGCAGGUGUCCAUAGGGACGUAACGCAUGCUACCUGCCGAGGGAUGAGUACAUUUUAGAAAUGUAAACCUCUCUGUCGACUGGCAGAGAGGUUUUUUAUUG